ACAAGUACCCGUGAGGGAAAGUUGAAAACGACUCUGAAGAGAGAGUUAAAAGCGCGUGAAACCGGUGGGGUGGAAACGGAUAGAGCCGACGUAUACGGCCCGCACUCGGUUGCGCGGUGGUUGCAAGACCACCCCGCACCCUACUUGCGGGUGCAGUGCGCUGAGGGUCGUGACCGCCCGGUUCGAGGCGGGACGUAGUGCGCUUGGCCCUCAAGCCAAGUUGCCCCUCCCGAUCAGGGCUGUGGCAGUUGCGGUUUUAUGUAAGGGAUGCGUUUGCGGCCAGUUGCGUCCGGUUGAGUUGUCGGUGGACGCUUGCGCCCGCUGGCAUGCUCCCCCGCUCGCUCCUGUGCGGCAGCCGUCCCCUCUCGGUGUGAGAGUCGGUCACCUAUCCGACCCGUCUUGAAACACGGACCAAGGAGUUUACCGCAUACGCGAGUCACCGGGAUCCGCGAAUCCCGCGGGCGCAACGAAAGUGAAUCUCGUGUGAUGCGUUCCGUAGUGUGCUAAACCACACGACGGCACGCCGCAGCAUGGCCCUGCGGCAGCCGCCUCGGCGGCGCCGCGGAGGAGGAGCGUAUGCGAUGAGACCCGAAAGAUGGUGAACUAUGCCUGAGCAUGCUGAAGGGAAGGGAAACUUUCCUGGAAGGCUGAAGCGGUUCUGACGUGCAACUCGAUCGUCUGACUUGGGUAUAGGGGCGAAAGACUAAUCGAACCAUCUAGUAGCUGGUUUCCUU
rnacentral:rRNA from 1 species